rnacentral:tRNA from 2 species
AUUUAAGUAGCUUAAAGUUAAAGCAUAAUAUUGAAGCUAUUAUUAUAAGGGUAACCUUCUUAAAUA